UCCAUGGAACCAUUCGCAUCACAGCACAACCGAGCAACAGUGCCCAACUAUUGUCUCUACACAGUGGCCCAGAGAACUGAUCUCUAUGGAAUUCUGGAAGGAGAAGAAACAGGCUUGAAAGAACAUUUGUAUUGAACUGAUAUCAGCAUGUGACCCCGUAAAUACAGAUUACCAAGGUUUCACCUUCAUGAGCUUCAGAGUUGUCCGGGCUUGCAUGAGACAAGGCCUGUGAAGUACCCAGCAAAGCAGACAGCAGCUUCCAUGCCUUUCUCCCAUGUUCCUCCAGUCCCAACAUCUCACCUUUCCAUGAACUCCUUUAAUAGAGAACUGUACCUCCUCCUGCAUUCAUCAAAGACCUGCUCUCAGAGGAGGUUAUGAAGAGGGGAAGGUCAGGCUACACAGACCCAACCAUUGCUGAGUGAAAUCCAUGUGACUCCAGAGGAGCUGGGGAAUUCCUCUUCUCAUAGUUUCCUCGGUACAAUGGAAGUUUGUUGUGUGAGACAGCAUCUCUCACAGGGACCUGGAGCUCACCAGUUAGGGGACACUUGCUGACCAGAGAGCACCCCCAGUUCCUCCUCUCUCCUUUUUGCCCCCCCAGAAUUGAAAUUUCAAGCGUGCCUCGGUGCCAAGCUUUUUAUAUGGGUGCUGAGGAGUUAAACCCAGGUCCCCAUACUUGUACAGCAGGCAUGUGACAGACUGAGAUCUCACUGCAACCAAGCAGAAGACAAGCCUCAAGACAGCCAGCGUUAAAGGAAUAAUUAAAAGGAAGCAUUUUAGAAGAUUUUUAAGACUCAAGAAAGACUAAACAGCAACUAAGUAGCUUGUGAUA
rnacentral:lncRNA from 1 species